rnacentral:tRNA from 1 species
CGGGAAGCCGAACGGCAAGGCAUUGAAAAGCCAGUCCCGGAAGCCGCCGGCGAAUCCGGCAGUCCCGG